rnacentral:rRNA from 1 species
AGUAAAAGUCGUAACAAGGUCUCCGUAGGUGAACCUGCGGAGGGAUCAUUACCGAGUGAGGGCCUCCGGGCUCGACCUCCAACCCCAUUGUAUUCCGACCUCUUGUUGCCUCGGGGGCGACCCGGCCUUCGGGCGUCGGGGCCCCCGGUGGACCAUCAAACUCUGCAUCUUUGACGUCUGAGUAAAUAUUGAAUCAAUCAAAACUUUUAACAACGGAUCUCUUGGUUCUGGCAUCGAUGAAGAACGCAGCGAAAUGCGAUAAGUAAUGUGAAUUGCAGAAUUCAGUGAAUCAUCGAAUCUUUGAACGCACAUUGCGCCCCUUGGUAUUCCGAGGGGCAUGCCUGUUCGAGCGUCAUUUCACCACUCAAGCCUGGCUUGGUAUUGGGCGCCGCGGUUUGCCGCGCGCCCCAAAGUCUCCGGCUGAGCCAACUGUCUCUAAGCGUUGUGGUUUAAUCAUCCGCUUGCGAGAUCGAAGGCGACGGCCGUUAAACUUAUUCAAAGGUUGACCUCGGAUCAGGUAGGGAUACCCGCUGAACUUAAGCAUAUCAAUAAGCGGAGGAAAAGAAACCAACAGGGAUUGCCCUAGUAACG